UGAGUCGUCAAAACAGACGUGUGGGCUAUUCUGUGGCCUUUCUGCAUGAGCUAAUAUAAUUGUCCACUAAUUUGAAUAUGCAGUGUAUAAAAAAAAGUAUAACCUUUCAAAUUCAUAUUAACGAUAAUUAUAAAUGAUAUGAUUGUUCUCAACUGCUUUGAGUUAAUGAUGCGCAACGGAAACAUGUCGGCUUAUUUACAAAGGAAGGCAAUUCACUUAUUUACCAAUAGCGACGCCAUCUUGAAUCAUGAUGCAUUAUGGGUUAUCCAGGGUAAAAAUCCGAAUUCAAAAGCCUUUAAUGUCGUAUUGAGACACAAUACGAUAAUUUUUUUUUCAUAAACACUUUCUUGAGGACAAUGAGGCAGUGUAAAUCAAUUUUAUGCGCACUUUGUUGAAAUUAUUUCCCUUUUAGGCCGAACAAAGAUUUAAACUAUAGAUUUUAUCCUGAUUUUAUUAUUUUUCCCAGCUUUUGUGUGUUUUCCUACUUCUUCUAAAAAUUGUCUGUUAUUAUCAACUAUAAAAACGUGUGUUUUCGCCUACAUAUUUGAUUUACAGCCCUUCAAAAACGUUCAAUUACCCUGGAUCUCCCAUAAUGCAUUGCGUUAAACGCGAAAUUCAAGAUGGCGUCGCUAUUGGUGAAUAGGUGAAUUAUAACUUCAUUUUAAUGCUGCUUGUACUGUACAGGCUGAGUAAAAAAAAACUGACAUCUUUGUUAUUCAAA